UCUUGAGCUUAGUGCAUGGCUGUCGACUACUAACACUACUACCACCAAACACCAGCACCACCACUAUUAACUACUACGAUGAUGACGACAACGUCGUUGCCGUUGUCGUCGUCGUCGCCAACACAACAAACAAGCAGAAGCAGCAGCAACAACAGCAAAAGCAAUAGCAACAACGAAGAAGGAAGACAACACAGUGCAAAACACACAGAAAACGGCAAUAACAAAUCGGUUGUUCGGACUUACGUUGCUUUUUUGCGGUGUGCUGUGCUGUGCUUGUUACGCCGUAAUAACAAAUAAUCAAAAUCAGUACGCUUUCAGCAAUCAGGCGGGUAACAACCCUUGAAAUUGAAGUGAAAACCAAAAAUAAUUUUUAUUGGAAAAGACCGUACCUAACAUCAAUCACAAGCGGAAAAUCAUUAAACAAUCCAUAGUUUAAAACAACUUUAAAAGAAGGAAAACAAAUCAACAUUUUUAUGUGCA